UUGGACUAAAACGCUUCCAUCGCAAUAAGGAGUACUCUGUUCAAGGAGGCCAUUAAUCCAGAAGCGCAAAAACACGGCGGACCAAAACGCAACUCCGAGGGCGACGUCCUACUAUGCUUUGUAUUGCCGUUCACUUCCCCGACGUACACCGGUCUUUGUCCUCGCGAUCACAGUGUUCCGUUUCGUCUCAGAGCACCUUCUUCAUCGGCCGCAAUCCAUGAAUCUAUCUGUCGCCGUCAGCCGCGGUUCCGUCACAGAUUCAACUCGACAAUUCAGAGGUUCAGAUCAAACGCCGCGAAUCCAAACAACAACCUUCUAACCAUGCUUGCUUGACGUGAAAAAGCGAAAUCGGAAGAAAUUCGCGCCGUGAAAUCGAGAUGAAGCUCAAUGGAAGCAAGAAACACUUACCGAAUUAACACGUCUUUUACAGGGAUAAUGAUGUGAAGGUUUGGAAGCUGUUUCUUUCUGCGUUUCAAAUGCUUGGCAAAGUUAUAGCUUCACUUCGUCUCAAAUACGUACGGCAUUGCGUUUCGGUUGUUCAUGCUGGAUUUUUGUGGUUUCCGUUUCAUGCUGGCUUGUAUGGACCGCGUUCUUCAAUCCGUUUCUGUUAUCUGCUGCAAAGCAGAUGGUACUCAACACUGUAAUGGAUAAUAUGGAUAUUAAAUGGAUAUUUGGGGUUAAUUGGUA